AGCACCCAAAGGGGGCCCCAAGAGCCCACCCCCAGCACCCAAGGGUGGCCCCAGCACCCACCCCAGCACCCAAGGGUGGUCCCAACACCGACACCUGCACCCAAGGGUGCCCCCAGUGCCCCCCCCAGCACCCAAGGGUGCCCCCGCACCCAGACCUGCACCCAAAGGUGGCCCCAGAAACCCACCCCCAGCACCCAAAUGUGGCCCCGACACCCACAGCAGCACCCAAGGGUGGCCCCAACACCCAAAAUUGGCUCCAAACCCCCCAAAGCAGCACCCAAGGGUGGCCCCAACCCCCACACUGGCACCCAAAGCAGCACCCAGGGGUGCCCCCAAGCCCCCCCCCAGCACCCAAGGGUGGCCCCGCACCCAGACCCGCACCCAAGGGUGACCCCAGCACCC